rnacentral:lncRNA from 1 species
UCCAAAUAGGAAAGUCAAUAAACAGCUGACAUUUACCAAUGCCUUGCUUCCGGGUUAUUUUUUCUCCACUCUCCAGAUGUUCUGAAAUGUGUGGUUCCAGAUGCGUCACCUCCAACAGGAUGAUCCCACUCCCCUGGACUGCAUUGCACAAACUUGCGCCAGCAGCACACCGGGGGGACGCCGAAGUUGGAAAGUCUGCAGCGGAGGAGAGUGGGGCGUUGCCUGAGACUGGCUCCUACAGAUUGUGGAGGUUUUCUGAGGUCUUCAAGGAGUAGUUUCUGGUGGAAGGUGCUUUGCACAGGGAUGAAUGUUGUCAGCAGAUAGAGUGGAGAGAGUUACUCCUGAUUGAUGGCCAGGAGACCAAGAGGAAGUGGGUACCUGAGCAGCAGGAUUACUGGAGCCACGGAGAUGAGCUACAUCCAGAUUCUUUUUUUUUUUUUUUUUUGCCUUUUCUAGGGCCACACCUGCAGCAUAUGGAGAUUCCCAGGCUAGGGGUCAAAUCGGAGCUGGAGCUGCCAACCUACGCCAGAGCCACAGCCACGUGGGAUCCGAGCCGCGUCUGUGACCUACACCACAGCUCACAGCAAUUCUGGAUCCUUAACCCGGUGAGCAAGGCCAGGGAUCGAACCAUCCACCUCAUGGUUCCUAGUUGGUUUCGUUAACCACUGAGCCACGACAGGAACUCCCACAUCCAGAUUCUGACUACGCAAACCAGCAUGGUCUCCAGGAGAGCAGCAGCCUGACCCUCACAGCCACGUGUGCAAUGCAGGUCUCCCACCAAGAGUACUGAGAAUUUAUAACAUUUAAUCUUUGGCAAUUUAAUGAAUUUAAAUGACAUGUUUUUGGUGUUUUGUUUGUGUGUUGUUUGUUUUGGUCAUGCCCUUGGCAUGCAGAAGUUCCCAAGCCAGAGAUCGAUCCUAAGCCACGGCAGUGACAACACCAGAUCCUGAACCUGCCAAGCCACCAAGGAACUCUAUGGCAUAUUUUAUUUUCGUUUUGUACCUUAAAAAGUGAUUUUUUUUUACAUAUUGAUAAAUAUCCAUGUUCUUCCUCAGUAAAGUAUCCGUCUAUAUCUCCUAAAAAAAAAAAAAAAGGAAUAAUAGUGGAUCGUAAUCUAUAUAGUAAGGAUGUUAACUUUUUAGUUUCAUGUUUGUUGCAGAUCUUUCUUCAUUUGGCAUUUGCAUCUAGUUCAGACUAUGAUUUUUGAUUUAAAAAAUAUUUAAACUUUAGGAGUUCCCAUCGUGGCUCAGUGGUUAACAAACAUGACUAGUAUCC